GGGGACUUGGUGUAGUGGUUAACACGCGUCGGGUAUGGAAGCAACCCGUUGAGCCCGUGUGUAAUCGGGAAAUUAAAAUACCGAGAAUUAGUGCAUGCGACGAGCCGUGGCUUCGAUUCCUUCAGUCCCCA